UCUCUUAUAGGUCUCUACUAUUGCUCUCUGAUCAAAUAUUAGAAGAGUGCGAAUCAAAAGAACAUUAACGGGAUAACAAUCAAGUUACGAGUUACUAUUUACUAAUCGGUGCAUACAUGUCACUCAAUAGACACAAAAACCUGGAAACUAGAAAAUCUGAACAUUCUAGAAGAUGGAUUCAACAUUUCUCUUGCAAAUCAUUUGGAAAGUUCACUGCCGUUCACGGGAAUUGCACUCCCUGCUACUAUGAACUAAACUGUUAAUAUUCGAAGGUGGAUAAAUGUCGGCGGACGUUCUCCAAGGAUCACAUUCACCUGACAGCUGUUCAUAGCAUCUGAUACUGUGACUUCAUGAAUAUUGUCUGCAUGCAAAAAAAAAACGCUUGGUUUAUUUUUAGCGACAAACAAAUCCCUUUUAUUGAGAAAGUAUCUAAGCCAAAAAUAUGUUAUGUUACGCAAAAAUAUGCUUAUUUUAAUGGUUCAUCUUUUGUGUCACUUUCAAUAUGAUUUUUUUCAUAAGUGAUCAGUCAAGCCAUAAUCAGUACUGGUGGAAGCGUGGUUGUAUGCGGAUGGUAAACACGGGAGAUUGGAGCACUUUUAAAAGGAGACGUCCACGAGUUUACAAAGAAAGAGUUGAUCCAUUUUCUAUUCCGGACCAUCACUUUAAAGCCAAAUAUCGGUUUAAGAAAUCAACGGCAAAAAAAAUUAUUGGUCUAAUAAAAAAUGAUAUUGAAUUAAGCAAAAGAGGGCACGGGACUCCGGCCGAACUACAAGUUAUGGUUGCUUUGCGUUGUUGGGGUCGCAGAAAGGUUCAAGAUGAUGCGGGAGAUUUGCACGGAUUAGCCCAACCAACGGUUUCAAGAAUAUGCAAUAGAGUUGCUCGCGCUUUGGCUCGUCAUGGUAUGGAAUACAUAAACAUGCCGACAUCUCUCGAAGAGCAAGCCGUAAUAAUGAGAGAUUUUAAGGCCAUUAGAAACUUUCCGGGCGUUAUUGGAGCAAUUGAUGGAACUCAUGUUAAAAUAAAAAAAAACUGGUGGAGAUCUUGCCCAAUAUUAUAUAAACCGGAAAGGAUUCUAUUCACUGAAUGUACAGGUAGUGUGUGAUGCCCAAUUGAAAAUUCGCGACAUAGUUGCUAGGUGGAGAGGAAGUACUCAUGAUUGUCGGAUAUUUAAUGAAUCUUCUAUUAAGGAACGAUUUGAAAAAAAAGUAUUCAGGGGUCGUUUACUUGGAGAUUCAGGAUAUCAGUUGACGCAUUAUCUAUUUACUCCUCUCCUCCGCACUAACAACGAAAAGGAAGAACGCUACAAUGUUGCUCAUAUUGCAACAAGGAAUACAUAAAUUGCCAGAUAAAACUUCAAAAAAUUCUAAAAAUGUUUCAUAGUUAUUUGACUGUUAUUAUGUGUUUGUGAAUACACAAUUUUAAAAUCAGUUUAUUAAGCAAAAAGUGUAUAGUAGUUAAAAUAGAUUUUAAGCCCAUAAUAAGAACUGUUUGUGAAUAAGGCUGUUAAUCUAUAUACAAUACAAAUAUGUAAAAAUUUUAGAUUAAAUAAAAAAACUAUGUAUUGAGGUGUAGAAUAGACUAUAUUUUAACGAAAUCACAAUUUUCAGAGAGAUCAAUACGAUUAUAAUAAUUAUUAAUUUCAACAAAGACACGACGAAAUUGAAGCAGCUGAAAGAUACAGGGGUGAACUAAAGGUAACAUUUGAAUAAAUUCUAUUCAAAAUGAAAUCGGAGACGAUUUUAUCUUGCGAAACUUUGAGAAAGAAGGUAAUAUUUGGAAUCCAAUUUUUUUUUCCUGUUAGGGCGCAGAUUAUUAAAUUUUAUAAUUUUUCUUUGUUUCUCUUUCGGACGAGCUCAAUGAUCGAACAUUUUCUUUGCAAAUGGAAAAGGAAAGCCACUAUGGGACACGUUUCGCAAUUUAGUUACAAUUACUCAUCAGCCAUAUUAUGUGUAAAAGCUUCAAGGGCCGUAUGUUGUACUUGUACCGAAUUUAUUGGGAAAACCACUUUAUGAUACAAAUACCACAUUUCACAUGUUCGACAACCCUGUCUAUUAGCUGUUCUUCUCCUUACACACCAACCACUAUGGGACGCGUUUCGCAAUUUUGUUACAAUUACUCAUCAGCCAAAUUAUAUGUGAAAGCUUCCAGGGCCGUGUGUUGGUAUGUUGUACUUGUACCGAAUUUAUUGCCAAAUCGCCUCUAUGAUACAAAUACCACAUUAACCACGCUCGACAACCCUGUCUAGUUCCUCGUAGUUGGCUCGCCCCAAAGUGAAGUUUUUGCAAAGAAAAAUACUUUCAAACCAGAUUAUAUAUUUUAUUUAUUAAUUUUUAUACCCUCCACCAUAGGAUGGGGGUAUACUAAUUUCGUCAUUCUGUUUGUAACACCUCGAAAUAUACGUCUAAGACCCCAUAAAGUAUAUAUAUUCUUGAUCGUCAUGCCAAUUUAAGUCGAUUUAGCCAUGUCCUUCCGUCUGUCCGUCCGUCCGUCUGUCUGUCGAAAGCACGCUAACUUUCGAAGGAGUAAAGCUAGCCGCUUGAAAUUUUUCACAAAUACUUUUUAUUAUUGUAGGUCGGUUGGUAUUGUAAAUGGGCCAAAUCGGUACAUGUUUUGAUAUAGCCGCCAUAUAAACCGAACUUGGGUCCUGACUUAUUGAGCCUCUAGAGGGCGCAAUUCUCGUCCGAUUUGACUGAAAUUUUGCACGUAUUGUUUUGGUAGCACUUGUAACGAACCCCAACCUUAUGGCCCUAACUCCUCAAAGACGGUGCUACCUAGAUUUCCGGCCGUGCUCAUGGAUAGUGGGGGGGUCGUUGUCCUCUUAGAGUUUGGGUACGGGUCGUCAACAUAAGAAUUUAAAAAUAGGUAGGUAGCAUUAUCCUUCAGAUUCGAUUUAAAACCAAAUAAUAAAAAAGUGGAACUAAUAAGAUCGCGAGCGGAAAGAGAGUGUGCUGUUUUUUCCCUUUCCUUUCUUUACCCACCCUAACCAUUGCUACUAUUUCGUAUUGUGACAAGCAGCCCUAUUCACCUAACCUAUUCCCAAGUGUUUCGAAAAUUUACAUAAUCAUUAUAACGAUUUAUUUUGUGAAUAAUUAUUAUUUAUUAUAGCGAUAUUUUAAAAUGAAUAUAUAUUAGCUACAGUGGAAUUAAAAUUAAUUAAUAUUUGUAUAUUAAUGGAAAAUAAGUUUUUAAGUGAUUUUUUUUUCAACUGGAGUUAGUUAAAGUUAUUAAUAAAUUAUUUUAAGAAAAUUAAUAAGGUAAAGAAAUUGACAAAAAAAUUAACAUAAUAAGGUUAAUGUUAGGUGUAUCAAUCCUUAAUAGGACUUUGAAUUGAUAAAUAUAAAAAACACAAAUUUAAAAAAAAACUCUCCAAAGCUGCAAAAAUUCCUCA